GUAUGUUUUGGUGCAAAAAGAAUUACCACUCGGUGGAAACCUUUGAUGGAUGAAGUCUGCUUUUGAUAACUGAGUUUUCCAUUAUCUGUCAUGAGAUACUUGGACUCAACAAUCGAAGACAGCUCAACAUAAGCUUUUGAACCUAAGAUCAGAAGCUCUAACAUAUCAUAUUCACAUUUUGGGAAUACAUCACUAUGUCCCUCAUGGAUGUCACAUAUAUGGUUGAGAACUGACAACCACUUUGCCUUGACAAGUUCUUCAUCACCAUUGCUGGAAGCAGCACACCAGUAUACAUGGUUGGAAAUUGAUUGGGCCCAAUCUGACAAUAAUUUGCAACCACUUUUUUUUGAUGCUGCCCAAAUGUUCUUUUUAAUUCCUGUUGGAUUUUGAUUAUUGAUGAAAUGUGUAAAAGAUUUGAUUUGAGCAUGUCUGUCUGUGGUCAUUGACUUCACCUUCAUCCCACUUUCAUCAAACUUUGCCAGACAUCUUUUUAAUUCCUCAAGUUCCAUUGCUCCAGAGUUGGUCACUUCAUUGGACUGUUUAACAUAAUUAUAUUCCAAAUCCAUGCAGCUAUAUGACCCAUACUUGGCACAAUAUCCAGGAAAUCACAUCUUCCAUCUCUUCCAAGAAGAUGCUUUUGGUGCAUAUGCCAAACAAUUGAAACACAGCAGGGGUAUCAAAUACGCUGUUUGAAUAUAGCUAUAUGUGUGCUCUGACAGAAAUUGUAUGCCUGAGUGACGAAGGAAUUGAAGAACUUUGCUGGGGCUACAACCACUAAACAAGAUGCUGGCAGCAAAGACCAAGUUACCCAAAGGCAUUCACCCAUGCAGAGGUUGGCUAUUGCAGUCUCGAACAUAACCACAAUGACAUUUUGCUAGUACGUUAACCAUACUACCAGUCGUUUUGGUCACAAUUGAACAACUUUCACCACAACAUGGGCAUUGACUCACUGUCUCAAGCAACUAUCAAACACUAUGUAUUUUCUCUCAUUUUGAACAUCUUCCCUAUAACAUAAAAAUUACCAUCAGAAUCAGAGGGAUAAACGUAACGUUCUGAGAAACAUAGAACAGAGAAAAGCAAUGUAAACAAUAGUCAGGUGACUGGAUAGUUGGUACUAACGUCACAUUGUCAUUGUCGGAUUCUUCAUUUUCGCUUAAAGUGCACAUACAACUAUUUUUAGUUUUUUUAUUCUCAAAUAGAUUUUGGAUAAAUAAUACAAAUGCCGUUUACAGAAUUUGAAUAACUUUUUUCGUUUUUGAGUUAUCUUUCGGCAAAUUUGCGAAUAAAACCUGAAUUUCAACGUUUUGUAAAAAAUGUCGAGAGCUCUAAUCCGUGGCAUGGGACUUACUUGUGACGUCAUUUAAGGAACACAGACUGACUACCAAAACAACUUACACUGUUUAUGGCAUGUAAACAAACACAAAAAUGCCAGAUCGAUGUGUAGUUUUUGGUUGUUCUAACGUAGCCAGUUCGGAGAAAGGCAUUUCACUUCAUCGCAUACCAUUUUUUAACGACGAAAGAAGCGAAGCUAAGCGUAGGAGAAAGCGAUGGGUCAACUUUGUGAAAGCUACUCGCGAUAAGUGGGUCCCCACAAAGAAUUCCGCAGUUUGCUCGGAACACUUCACAAAAUAUUUGUUUUCUUGGCAAUUCGGCUCGCUUUCUGAAUCAGAAAGUAAUUUUGCACCUCGACUCAUUCGAGACGAAUUCGGAAUCGUUGCUUACCCGAGCAUUUAUCCUCGAAAAGAUGACAAUGAACUUACAACAAGAGAUCGCAGAAUGAUGAAAAGAAAGUGGAUGUCUGAUUAUAAAAGAGAGGUUGAAUCAGAAAAUAUUCCCAGUACAAGUAGCGAACCUCAAGAGCAAAUAGAAGAAAUAACUUGUGAUGAGCCUGUAUUAUCAGAAUGAUCAGCUACUCUUUUCCUGGAAUGUUCUGCAGGCAUAUCCUUGUUGUAACUCACUUGAAAGCAAUUUGGAAAGGGA